AGCGAACGCUGGCGGCAGGCUUAACACAUGCAAGUCGAACGGGCGUAGCAAUACGUCAGUGGCAGACGGGUGAGUAACACGUGGGAACGUACCUUUUGGUUCGGAACAACUGAGGGAAACUUCAGCUAAUACCGGAUAAGCCCUAACGGGGAAAGAUUUAUCGCCGAAAGAUCGGCCCGCGUCUGAUUAGCUAGUUGGUGGGGUAAUGGCCCACCAAGGCGACGAUCAGUAGCUGGUCUGAGAGGAUGAUCAGCCACAUUGGGACUGAGACACGGCCCAAACUCCUACGGGAGGCAGCAGUGGGGAAUAUUGGACAAUGGGGGCAACCCUGAUCCAGCCAUGCCGCGUGAGUGAUGAAGGCCCUAGGGUUGUAAAGCUCUUUUGUGCGGGAAGAUAAUGACGGUACCGCAAGAAUAAGCCCCGGCUAACUUCGUGCCAGCAGCCGCCGCCGUAA
rnacentral:rRNA from 1 species